CAGCCGCCACGGUAAAACGGAGGGUGCAAGCGUUAAUCGGAAUUACUGGGCGUAAAGCGCACGCAGGCGGUCUGACAAGUCAGAUGUGAAAUCCCCGGGCUUAACCUGGGAACUGCAUUUGAAACUGUCAGGCUGGAGUCUUGUAGAGGGGGGUGGAAUUCCAGGUGUAGCGGUGAAAUGCGUAGAGAUCUGGAGGAAUACCGGUGGCGAAGGCGGCCCCCUGGACAAAGACUGACGCUCAGGUGCGAAAGCGUGGGGAGCAAACAGGAUUAGAUACCCGCGUAGUCCCUGUCUCUUAUAC
rnacentral:rRNA from 1 species